rnacentral:rRNA from 1 species
GAUGAACGCUAGCGGCAGGCUUAACACAUGCAAGUCGAGGGGUAUAGUAGCAAUACUAGAGACCGGCGCACGGGUGCGUAACGCGUAUGCAAUCUACCUUUUGCAGAGGGAUAGCCCAGAGAAAUUUGGAUUAAUACCUCAUAGUAUAUAUGAAUGGCAUCAUUUAUAUAUUAAAGUCACAACGGCAAAAGAUGAGCAUGCGUCCCAUUAGUUAGUUGGUAAGGUAACGGCUUACCAAGACUACGAUGGGUAGGGGUCCUGAGAGGGAGAUCCCCCACACUGGUACUGAGACACGGACCAGACACCUACGGGAGGCAG